UAACCUGCCCUUGGGUCCGGCAUAACCCCGGGAAACUGGGGAUAAUUCCGGAUAACGCAUAUAUGCUGGAAUGCUUUAUGCGUCAAAUGGAUUCGUCUGCCCAAGGAUGGGUCUGCGGCCUAUCAGGUAGUAGUGGGUGUAAUGUACCUACUAGCCGACGACGGGUACGGGUUGUGAGAGCAAGAGCCCGGAGAUGGAUUCUGAGACAUGAAUCCAGGCCCUACGGGGCGCAGCAGGCGCGAAAACUUUACAAUGCGGGAAACCGUGAUAAGGGGACACCGAGUGCCAGCAUCAUAUGCUGGCUGUCCGGGUGUGUAAAAUACACCCGUUAGCAAGGGCCGGGCAAGACCGGUGCCAGCCGCCGCGGUAACACCGGCGGCCCGAGUGGUGAUCGUGAUUAUUGGGUCUAAAGGGUCCGUAGCCGGUUUGGUCAGUCCUCCGGGAAAUCUGACGGCUUAACCGUUAGGCUUUCGGAGGAUACUGCCAGGCUUGGAACCGGGAGAGGUAAGAGGUACUACAGGGGUAGGAGUGAAAUCUUGUAAUCCCUGUGGGACCACCUG
rnacentral:rRNA from 1 species